UACGGAGGGGGCUAGCGUUGUUCGGAAUUACUGGGCGUAAAGAGCGUGUAGGCGGCCAGAUAAGUCCGCUGUGAAAUCUCGAGGCUCAACUUCGAGCUGUCGGUGGAAACUGUCUGGCUAGAGUCCGGAAGAGGAGAAUGGAAUUCCUGGUGUAGCGGUGAAAUGCGCAGAUAUCAGGAAGAACACCCGUGGCGAAGGCGGUUCUCUGGGACGGUACUGACGCUGAGACGCGAAAGCGUGGGGAGCGAACAGG
rnacentral:rRNA from 1 species